AUUUCUCUUUCUAAAUUUGACACAGUUUAGGUAUGCAGUAUCUUUAAGGACAACCUACUUCUCAUAUCUUCCAUUUCAAAACUAAAACACACAGAAAAGGACUGCAGAGCAAGAUCCACUCCUGCUUAUUUCAAGAUGCAAUGGAAAUCUUUAUGCUCACACUGGGCCAGGCCUGGGGAAAAUUCCACUGGCAGAUGUGAGGAAUCCCAAGACAGGUUGGUGCAUUUCCCGGGUU
ensembl:lncRNA